rnacentral:rRNA from 1 species
GAUGAACGCUGGCGGCGUGCUUAACACAUGCAAGUCGAACGAAGCACUUUAACCUGAUUCUUCGGAUGAAGGUUUUUGUGACUGAGUGGCGGACGGGUGAGUAACGCGUGGGUAACCUGCCUCAUACAGGGGGAUAACAGUUAGAAAUGACUGCUAAUACCGCAUAAGACCACAGAGCCGCAUGGCUCGGUGGGAAAAACUCCGGUGGUAUGGGAUGGACCCGCGUCUGAUUAGGUAGUUGGUGGGGUAACGGCCUACCAAGCCAACGAUCAGUAGCCGACCUGAGAGGGUGACCGGCCACAUUGGGACUGAGACACGGCCCAAACUCCUACGGGAGGCAGCAGUGGGGAAUAUUGCACAAUGGGGGAAACCCUGAUGCAGCGACGCCGCGUGAGCGAAGAAGUAUUUCGGUAUGUAAAGCUCUAUCAGCAGGGAAGAAAAUGACGGUACCUGAAGAAGAAGCACCGGCUAACUACGUG